rnacentral:misc_RNA from 1 species
GAUGAAGAACGUAGCGAAAUGCGAUAAGUAAUGUGAAUUGCAGAAUUCAGUGAAUCAUCGAAUCUUUGAACGCAUCUUGCGCUCCUUGGUAUUCUGAGGAGCAUGCCUGUUUGAGUGUCAUUAAAUUCUCAACUACACUGACUUUGAAUUGGUGUGGCUUGGAUUUGGGGGGAAAAUUGUUGUGGGCUUUUUGUAUAGUCUGCUCCCCUGAAAUUGAUUAGCGGUACCUUUGUGGAACUGUCUACAGGUGUGAUAAUUAUCUACAUCUUAGACAUCUGCUGGAAUGCUGCUUUCUAAACCUUACUUGUAAUGACAAUCUUGACCUCAAAUCAGGUAGGACUUCCCGCUGAACUUAAGCAUAUCAAUAAGCGGAGGA